UCCCAGGUGCUAAAAUCUUAUGUGUCAAGGGCAUUGUGAUGGCACGAUCCAUGUCUCCUGCGAGUGCUCGACAUCCCGUAGCCCCAAAGAGGAGGGCUCCAAGGUUGGACAACAAGCUUCACUGGAUGAAAGCAUUUCCCUUCUAAAACAGAGUGCUGCUGACAUGAAUGCACAAGUUAGUCUUGAUACUAAGAUGGUCAUGGAAUUGCUUGAUCUAUGCUAGGUCAACAUGUCAGCCAACCACUUAAAAAUAAUCAAUUGCAUUUCUUCCUCUGAACUGUGAAACCUGACGAGUGAUGACACAUCAGCAAUGUUGCAUUCAAUAGCCUAUUUGAAGUUAACAAAAGCUUUAUUAGCUAGCUUAGCAAUAGAAGAUGUCAGUGAACACGAGUGCCCAGUCAAGAGCAAUGAAACGGUAGAUACUUUAGAGUGUAAUUUUAUAUAUGAAUAAAUAAAUGACACUUAAGUCGUUAAGCAAUUGUUGUUGAGGUAUUGUCUCACCCUUUAUCUGCUCUCUUUUAAACUGUGGAAUGCUAUGGGCUGGAGCUACAGGGGAGGAGGGAGAUGGUGUGCAUGAGA